AAUGGCCACGACGAGCAUGAAGUCCCUGACAUCGUAGGUAACGAUCAUGCAGUCUGCUGGGAUGAGGAUGAGGCCUGUUAAAUUCAAGUUUCCACACAGUCUGCUAGGAUGAGGAAGAGGCCUGUUAAAUUAAAGGGUUGCCUGCACAUGAACUGUGUACGUUGUCCAUGGAUGCUGUAUUGGUGGUUCAACUUGUCCUGGUGGCCAUAGUAUGGUCAUAAUGACAUUCAGGUGACGUAUGCACAAAAUGGCCUUUCACCAAGGACUAACAUAUUUCAAAGGACUAUGGUUUGUCCAAGACUAAGUGUGUGGAGUCCUUUGGUGGUAGUAGGCUGCACACCUGAAGCAUUCUCAACAGGUAAGAAUGUGCUUCCUAUAUCAAAUCCCACUACAAAUGGUCCCUUUUUAAUUAACUUGCACCUUUUCAAUGGUCAAUUCCCUCUGUAACCUAUGAUGAUUCUUGCAGUCUCGUUCGUCUGAAGUCCUGCUGAUAAAUGUACAUCUUGUACUGAUGUUACAGAACUAGCAUUUGUCUCUACACAUGUGGAACUCACCCAUCUGAAGUUUUCUUUU